CAAACAUUCAUUCUCCAACAAUUCCAAUUUGUUUCCUAUUACUAGGACUUCGGUGGCUCCUAUCUCCUAUACUCCUAGCCCUACAUCGACCCUACAUCGACCUCACAUCGACCCUACAUCGACCCUACAUCGACCUCACAUCGACCCCACAUCGACCCCACAUCGACCCCACAUCGACCCCACAUCGACCCUACAUCGACCCCACAUCGACCCCACAUCGACCCUACAUCGACCCUACAUCGACCCUACAUCGACCCUACAUCGACC